UACGUAGGUGGCAAGCGUUGUCCGGAUUUACUGGGCGUAAAGAGCGCGCAGGCGGUUGUUUAAGUCGAAUGUGAAAGCCCCCGGCUCAACUGGGGAGGGUCAUUCGAUACUGAUCGACUUGAAGGCAGGAGAGGGAAGUGGAAUUCCACGUGUAGCAGUGAAAUGCGUAGAGAUGUGGAGGAGCACCGAUGGCGAAGGCAGCCUCCUGGGCCAGCACUGACGCUCAUGCACGAAAGCGUGGGGAGCAAACAGG
rnacentral:rRNA from 1 species